CAACUUGUUUGUUUUUAUUUCUUAAAAGUCUGAAGUGAUUUAGUUUAAACUAUGGACGGAGAAAAAAUUGAUAAACUUAUCGUUCUUGUGGCUGAAUUUAGUGAGCUAUAUGACAUUUCUCAUAAAAGUUAUAGUAACCAACACAGGAGAAAAAUAAUUUGGACGGAGAUUGGUAACAAACCUAAUAAAAAGGCCGAGGUUUGUAAGCAGAGAUGGAAAACUUUAAGAGACGCUUUUCAGCGAGCAGCAAAAACCAACCAAACAAAAAGUGGACAAGCUGCCACAGAAUAAACGAUCUCAUCGUUUAUUCUCCAUCGAGAUCGUUUAUUCUGUGCAAGCUGCCAAAGGCAACAAGAAAUGGAAAUACUGGGAUGCCAUGGCUUUUCUUCAGCCACAUAUUAAAGGAAGAGUAACUCAUUCAAAUGUUAGCCAAAUGCAGCAAGAAGAUAUUAGUGAAGGCGAUGAAAUGGAUACUCAAGUAGAAAAUAAUACACAAAGCCAAAGAAGAGACAAAAAGAGUGUGAAGAUUAUGAUGCCGAAAAUAGCUUAGAUAUUCCUUCUUCCAUUUCACAGCCAAACACACUUUCUUGUUCUUCAAGCGUAGAGACUCCAUCAAGACCAUCAUCUCGUGAUACAAGUGUAAAAAGUGUCCAACGUUUUAAGAAAUUAAAAGCUGCAGUCAGAAAUGAUGAGUCAAUACCGGAAAUAUUAAAAGAAUAUGGUGAUGACAAAAAACGUAGUCGUUUAGAAAAGCAGGCCAAUGAUCUUGUAAAACCAUCAGUAAAUGAAAAUAGCCCACUAAUAGAUUUUUUUAUUAAUAUGGGCAAAACAACAGGUACAUUUCCUCUACUAUGGCAAGUUGCCAUGAAAAAUAAAGUAUUUUAAAUAGUAAAUUCAUACGAAUUGCAAAUAUUAUCAAAUUACUCCUCUUUGAUAACACAAACUUUUAGUGAGAGUCUGAGAGAAAUACUGGGUCACAAUCAGACACUAUCCCAAAUUCAUGAGACACUUCAGCCACCAAUGCAAAUAGUCACCUAUGCAAAAUCCACCAUCUGUACAAACUCGACCGCCAAUGCAACAACACAUCUCUGUACAAGACGAAUCAUCUACAUUCUUCGGGGAAACUUCUACAUACUAUUCACAAUUCGCAAGUCAAUUACCUCACUCAUGGACACCUCACUAAUCUUGCCCAUUUUUUUGUGAAGAGAUAUGUUUCUUAGUUUAUUUUUUCUAUGUGUUUCCUUAGGACUACUUUGUUAACUAGUGUUUAUUUUUACAAUGAUAUUAUCAAACAUAAAAUUAGUUUAUUUUGUUGCGUUAAAUAAAAAAUGAUAUUUUCAUGUCACUUAAAAAUAAAUGUUUGCACUAAUUAAAUCAAUCAUUUGCUUACCUUAGAAAAACAGUUAGCCUCUCUUGUGGACUGGUGCCCUGCCGAAA